GCCGUGUGGUUGUGAGCUGGGGUCUCGAUCUGGAAUCAGGGUGGGAAAUGGGCGCCGGAAGUGGGCUGGGGGCUGAUGUCGGCGGAGCACCCCGCGAGCGUCGCGGCCGGCAGGCGGCGGUGGACGACCUGACCUGCGAGAGCCGGCCGGGUUCGGGGCCGCGCGUCCUGAGGUUCGCCUCCGCGUCUCCAGAACCCGGGCCGAGGUGGUACACGACCGGAAGAUGGGACUCGAACCCGGGAGGACCUCCCCAGGUCGCGCCUCUGGUUUACACAGCCGUAGGGCUGCAAAGGCGCUUCAGCAGAAUCUGUAAAUAAAGCACGACCGCGGUUGUACUAGGAGCGAGUGUGACAGCAGCAGGCAGCCCGCUGGACGCCCGCUGGACGCCUUGGUUCCCGGCACAGACGAGGCCUAAAGCUUAUAUUCUUUGGGGAAGAGCGAUUUGCUGAGAAACACAGCUGCCAGGUCCAGGACUUGAACCGUAAUGUCGGCGGUGUAGGAGAGACAGCGUCAGAGAGACGGAAAGUGAGAAAUCACCUCCUGGGAGGAUGGCCACAUCGCAGUCCCUUUUCCUCUGUUCUCCUCAUGGGAUUUUAGCCAUACAUGCAGACUGUCGGUUUCCAAGCUGUGUGGGAGUCCAGCACCUUAACCACUAUGCCACCUGCUGUUCAUUGACAUCUUAAAGACCUCAGUAAAGCAUAAGCCA